AUUGAACGCUGGCGGCAGGCCUAACACAUGCAAGUCGAGCGGAUGAAGGGAGCUUGCUCCUGGAUUCAGCGGCGGACGGGUGAGUAAUGCCUAGGAAUCUGCCUGGUAGUGGGGGAUAACGUCCGGAAACGGGCGCUAAUACCGCAUACGACCUGAUGGAGAAAGUGGGGGAUCUUCGGACCUCACGCUAUCAGAUGAGCCUAGGUCGGAUUAGCUAGUUGGUGGGGUAAAGGCCUACCAAGGCGACGAUCCGUAACUGGUCUGAGAGGAUGAUCAGUCACACUGGAACUGAGACACGGUCCAGACUCCUACGGGAGGCAGCAGUGGGGAAUAUUGGGCAAUGGGCGAAAGCCUGAUCCAGCCAGGCCGCGUGUGUGAAGAAGGUCUUCGGAUUGUAAAGCACUUUAAGUUGGGAGGAGGGGAAGUAAGUUAAUACCUGGCUGUUUUGACGUUACCAACAGAAUAAGCACCGGCUAACUUCGUG
rnacentral:rRNA from 1 species